rnacentral:rRNA from 1 species
CACUCUAGAGAGACUGCCAGGGAUAACCUGGAGGAAGGUGGGGAUGACGUCAAAUCAUCAUGCCCCUUAUGCUUAGGUCUACACACCUGCUACAAUGGGUAGUACAGAGGGUUGCCAAGCCGUAAGGUGGAGCUAAUCCCUUAAAGCUACUCUUAGUUCGGAUUGUAGGCUGAAACUCGCCUACAUGAAGCUGGAGUUACUAGUAAUCGCAGAUCAGAAUGCUGCGGUGAAUGCGUUCCCGGGUCUUGUACACACCGCCCGUCACACCACGGGAGUUGGAGACGCCCGAAGCCGAUUAUCUAACCUGUUGGAAGAAGUCGUCGAAGGUGGAAUUAAUAACUGGGGUGAAGUCGUAACAAGGUAGCCGUAUCGGAAGGUGCGGCUGGAUCACCUCCUUUCUAAGGAGA